rnacentral:lncRNA from 1 species
UUUCUGGACAAGUUCCUGGAUAAGAAGCCUAAAAGUUUUCUUCUUGAUGAGAUCGAUAUUGAUGAUAGUGACCUUGAUACGGAGCUGGAACUGCUAACUAGGAUGGAUGAGGAUGAGCUAGGCUUUCAACAGCAUAAGGCACAUUCGUGAAGUGCAGCUUGACAGCAAUAAGGAAUCAGUCUCCCCUAUCACCAACCUGUACCUUCUUUCAAUGCACCAUUUAAGGCCAAAAAGCAUGGCCUUUGCUUCUGCCCAGUUGCUGGUUCCAGCACCCAAGGGAAUGGAGUAAGCCAUAAUAAGAGCACCCAUACUAUCUCUGACAACACCACCACCUCCACAAAUACCAUCUCUACAGCUACCAUCACUAUUAAGCUUGAC